CCGAUGAAUCGAUUAUCUGGUUGUUAUCUACGAAAUCCGAGAAGGAUCAUUCAAAAUUCAAAAUUCAAAAUUCAAAUUCAAAACUAAAAAAUCCUACAUUAAUCUAUCAUGAUUCCCUGCGCUUUCGAAAGCCAAAAAAAAAAAGAUCGCACUUUACACUUUAAUAUACUACUGAAAGUUAUUUUAGAAAGUUUGUUAAGAACACGAACCCAUUGAAACAAGACAAAGGGUCCGUUACACCUGCAAAGGGAUACAUUCAACUUUACCAUUUGAAACCCUUGGUAACACAGCGUCCUUGCAAGUAGCAACCCUCUAUCAAGAAAAUAGGAAAGGAAACCCGAGCCCUAUACUACUA
rnacentral:lncRNA from 1 species